rnacentral:rRNA from 1 species
UACAGAGGGUGCAAGCGUUGUUCGGAAUUAUUGGGCGUAAAGGGCGCGUAGGCGGUUUGGCAAGUCUCUUGUGAAAUCUCUGGGCUCAACUCAGAGUCUGCUGGGGAAACUGCCGGGCUUGAGUGUGGGAGAGGAGAGUGGAAUUCCCGGUGUAGCGGUGAAAUGCGUAGAUAUUGGGAGGAACACCGGUGGCGAAGGCGGCCCUCUGGACCGGUACUGACGCUGAUGCGCGAAAGCGUGGGGAGCAAACGGG